rnacentral:rRNA from 1 species
AUUGAACGCUGGCGGCAGGCCUAACACAUGCAAGUCGAGCGGAUGAAGGGAGCUUGCUCCUGGAUUCAGCGGCGGACGGGUGAGUAAUGCCUAUGAAUCUGCCUGGUAGUGGGGGAUAACGUCCUGAAACGGGCGCUAAUACCGCAUACGUCCUGAGGGAGAAAGUGGGGGAUCUUCGGACCUCACGCUAUCAGAUGAGCCUAGGUCGGAUUAGCUAGUUGGUGGGGUAAAGGCCUACCAAGGCGACGAUCCGUAACUGGUCUGAGAGGAUGAUCAGUCACAAUGGAACUGAGACACGGUCCAGACUCAUACGGGAGGCAGCAGUGGGGAAUAUUGGACAAUGGGCGAAAGCCUGAUCCAGCCAUGCCGCGUGUGUGAAGAAGGUCUUCGGAUUGUAAAGCACUUUAAGUUGGGAGGAAGGGCAGUAAGUUAAUACCUUGCUGUUUUGACGUUACCAACAGAAUAAGCACCGGCUAACUACGUG